rnacentral:rRNA from 1 species
GAUGAACGCUGGCGGCGUGCCUAAUACAUGCAAGUCGAGCGAAUGGAUUAAGAGCUUGCUCUUAUGAAGUUAGCGGCGGACGGGUGAGUAACACGUGGGUAACCUGCCCAUAAGACUGGGAUAACUCCGGGAAACCGGGGCUAAUACCGGAUAACAUUUUGAACCGCAUGGUUCGAAAUUGAAAGGCGGCUUCGGCUGUCACUUAUGGAUGGACCCGCGUCGCAUUAGCUAGUUGGUGAGGUAACGGCUCACCAAGGCAACGAUGCGUAGCCGACCUGAGAGGGUGAUCGGCCAAACUGGGACAGAGACACGGCCCAGACUACUACGGGAGGCAGCAGUAGGGAAUCUUCCGCAAUGGACGAAAGUCUGACGGAGCAACGCCGCGUGAGUGAUGAAGGCUUUCGGGUCGUAAAACUCUGUUGUUAGGGAAGAACAAGUGCUAGUUGAAUAAGCUGGCACCUUGACGGUACCUAACCAGAAAGCCACGGCUAACUACGUGCCAGCCGCCGCAGUAA